GGUUAAGCGACUAAGCGUACACGGUGGAUGCCCUGGCAGUCAGAGGCGAUGAAGGACGUGCUAAUCUGCGAUAAGCGUCGGUAAGGUGAUAUGAACCGUUAUAACCGGCGAUUUCCGAAUGGGGAAACCCAGUGUGUUUCGACACACUAUCAUUAACUGAAUCCAUAGGUUAAUGAGGCGAACCGGGGGAACUGAAACAUCUAAGUACCCCGAGGAAAAGAAAUCAACCGAGAUUCCCCCCAGUAGCGGCGAGCGAACGGGGAGGAGCCCAGAGCCUGAAUCAGUGUGUGUGUUAGUGGAAGCGUCUGGAAAGGCGCGCGAUACAGGGUGACAGCCCCGUACACAAAAAUGCACAUGCUGUGAGCUCGAUGAGUAGGGCGGGACACGUGGUAUCCUGUCUGAAUAUGGGGGGACCAUCCUCCAAGGCUAAAUACUCCUGACUGACCGAUAGUGAACCAGUACCGUGAGGGAAAGGCGAAAAGAACCCCGGCGAGGGGAGUGAAAAAGAACCUGAAACCGUGUACGUACAAGCAGUGGGAGCACAGAGCAAUCUGUGUGACUGCGUACCUUUUGUAUAAUGGGUCAGCGACUUAUAUUCUGUAGCAAGGUUAACCGAAUAGGGGAGCCGAAGGGAAACCGAGUCUUAACUGGGCGUUAAGUUGCAGGGUAUAGACCCGAAACCCGGUGAUCUAGCCAUGGGCAGGUUGAAGGUUGGGUAACACUAACUGGAGGACCGAACCGACUAAUGUUGAAAAAUUAGCGGAUGACUUGUGGCUGGGGGUGAAAGGCCAAUCAAACCGGGAGAUAGCUGGUUCUCCCCGAAAGCUAUUUAGGUAGCGCCUCGUGAAUUCAUCUCCGGGGGUAGAGCACUGUUUCGGCAAGGGGGUCAUCCCGACUUACCAACCCGAUGCAAACUGCGAAUACCGGAGAAUGUUAUCACGGGAGACACACGGCGGGUGCUAACGUCCGUCGUGAAGAGGGAAAACAACCCAGACCGCCAGCUAAGGUCCCAAAGUCAUGGUUAAGUGGGAAACGAUGUGGGAAGGCCCAGACAGCCAGGAUGUUGGCUUAGAAGCAGCCAUCAUUUAAAGAAAGCGUAAUAGCUCACUGGUCGAGUCGGCCUGCGCGGAAGAUGUAACGGGGCUAAACCAUGCACCGAAGCUGCGGCAGCGACACUGUGUGUUGUUGGGUAGGGGAGCGUUCUGUAAGCCUGUGAAGGUGUGCUGUGAGGCAUGCUGGAGGUAUCAGAAGUGCGAAUGCUGACAUAAGUAACGAUAAAGCGGGUGAAAAGCCCGCUCGCCGGAAGACCAAGGGUUCCUGUCCAACGUUAAUCGGGGCAGGGUGAGUCGACCCCUAAGGCGAGGCCGAAAGGCGUAGUCGAUGGGAAACAGGUUAAUAUUCCUGUACUUGGUGUUACUGCGAAGGGGGGACGGAGAAGGCUAUGUUGGCCGGGCGACGGUUGUCCCGGUUUAAGCGUGUAGGCUGGUUUUCCGAGGCAAAUCCGGAAAAUCAAGGCUGAGGCGUGAUGACGAGGCACUACGGUGCUGAAGCAACAAAUGCCCUGCUUCCAGGAAAAGCCUCUAAGCAUCAGGUAACAUCAAAUCGUACCCCAAACCGACACAGGUGGUCAGGUAGAGAAUACCAAGGCGCUUGAGAGAACUCGGGUGAAGGAACUAGGCAAAAUGGUGCCGUAACUUCGGGAGAAGGCACGCUGAUAUGUAGGUGAAGUCCCUCGCGGAUGGAGCUGAAAUCAGUCGAAGAUACCAGCUGGCUGCAACUGUUUAUUAAAAACACAGCACUGUGCAAACACGAAAGUGGACGUAUACGGUGUGACGCCUGCCCGGUGCCGGAAGGUUAAUUGAUGGGGUCAGCGCAAGCGAAGCUCUUGAUCGAAGCCCCGGUAAACGGCGGCCGUAACUAUAACGGUCCUAAGGUAGCGAAAUUCCUUGUCGGGUAAGUUCCGACCUGCACGAAUGGCGUAAUGAUGGCCAGGCUGUCUCCACCCGAGACUCAGUGAAAUUGAACUCGCUGUGAAGAUGCAGUGUACCCGCGGCAAGACGGAAAGACCCCGUGAACCUUUACUAUAGCUUGACACUGAACAUUGAGCCUUGAUGUGUAGGAUAGGUGGGAGGCUUUGAAGUGUGGACGCCAGUCUGCAUGGAGCCGACCUUGAAAUACCACCCUUUAAUGUUUGAUGUUCUAACGUGGACCCGUGAUCCGGGUUGCGGACAGUGUCUGGUGGGUAGUUUGACUGGGGCGGUCUCCUCCUAAAGAGUAACGGAGGAGCACGAAGGUUGGCUAAUCCUGGUCGGACAUCAGGAGGUUAGUGCAAUGGCAUAAGCCAGCUUGACUGCGAGCGUGACGGCGCGAGCAGGUGCGAAAGCAGGUCAUAGUGAUCCGGUGGUUCUGAAUGGAAGGGCCAUCGCUCAACGGAUAAAAGGUACUCCGGGGAUAACAGGCUGAUACCGCCCAAGAGUUCAUAUCGACGGCGGUGUUUGGCACCUCGAUGUCGGCUCAUCACAUCCCUGGGGCUGAAGUAGGUCCCAAGGGUAUGGCUGUUCGCCAUUUAAAGUGGUACGCGAGCUGGGUUUAGAACGUCGUGAGACAGUUCGGUCCCUAUCUGCCGUGGGCGCUGGAGAACUGAGGGGGGCUGCUCCUAGUACGAGAGGACCGGAGUGGACGCAUCACUGGUGUUCGGGUUGUCAUGCCAAUGGCACUGCCCGGUAGCUAAAUGCGGAAGAGAUAAGUGCUGAAAGCAUCUAAGCACGAAACUUGCCCCGAGAUGAGUUCUCCCUGACCCUUUAAGGGUCCUGAAGGAACGUUGAAGACGACGACGUUGAUAGGCCGGGUGUGUAAGCGCAGCGAUGCGUUGAGCUAACCGGUACUAAUGAACCGUGAGGCUUAACCUU
rnacentral:rRNA from 1 species